rnacentral:lncRNA from 1 species
AAAUUCACAGCCAUGGGUGGGAGUCACAGCCAUGGGUGGGAGCUACCAAUAGAUUACAGUCAAUGCUGGCACCAAUACUACAGCCAUGGUGGGAGCACCAAUACUCACAGCCACGGUGGGAGUAUCGACAUUCACAGCCACGGGUGGGAGUAUUGACAUUCACAAAUACAGGUGCUAGCGGGUGAAGGUACCAGUAUUCACAGCCACAAUUGGGUUCAUGGGUAUUCACAGCCAUGGUUGGCAGUUCCUAUAUUAUUGACCAUGGCUGGGAGUGCCUUAUUAUUGACUGUGGUUGGGAGAGCAUGUAUUCAUGGCCAUGGUUGGGAGGGGCCUUUAUUAUUGCUCAUGGCUUGAAGCACCUACAUUAUUGUGCAUGGUUGGGAGCAUCCGUAUUAUUGGCCGUGGUUUGGAGUGCCUUAUAAUUGCCUGUUGUUGGGAGCUCCUUAUUAUUGCCUGUGGUUGGGGGUGAAUAUAUUAUUGUCCAUGGCAAGGAGUGACUGUAUUCGUGGCUGUGGAUGGGUGGGUAAACUAAUAUUCACAAUGAAUGUACACUCAGGAGCUUUAUUGUUUAUGAAUGUCUACGUUCCGAGCCUAGUGCGGGAGUCCAAUUCAUGGGUUUAACACAUAGACUACCCUAAAUAAUGCGCACCUCAUUAAAAGGAGCCAGAGGACAAAUAUAAUAAUCUCAUUCAGGAACUGAAGAUAAUAUGCUGUGGGCUCAGCCUCUUUAGACUACUUACCUUCACCACUGUCCACAAUGCAGAUUAUACCCAGAGAGUGUUAUAGGACAGGUGGCUGAAUGCACUUUCCCUCUGUAACCUGCGUAUGUUGGUGGUGGUACCCACAUCGGUGCAAACGCUAAAUAACUAUUUCUUCCUGUGCUUGGUCAUGGAAGAACAUUAAUGGGGUUCCAGAGGGGUGUAGUCUAGUGCUGAAUAUUUCAUGCAUUUUGUUUUAUAUUGUUCAUUGCCUUUGAAUUGUCCACAAAUAAUGUGAUCAGUCUGCUUCCUCUGUGCUAAAAUCAAAUCCUUGUACUUCGUUUCUGAUCGUGCAGAGGUUGUAGUAAUAGGACGAUUAAAGACGGGCUUGGAGUGAGGAAUCAUAAAUACGUCAGGUUAUAUUUUAAGAACCAAACAACAGCAACGCUGUUGUCAGUUUGCUCCAUACUUGCCUUAUUCAAUGUUUGUGGAUUGCGAUUCUGCACCCUACACCCUGGCUUUCCGUUAUUUUCAGUGACCUCGUUACAUAAAAUUGGAAAUUCAUUAGAGUGCAAGAAAAACAAUUAAAAUCUAAUCAUUUCAUAAACUCUGACCCCUAUAAACAUGUAUUACUAUAAUUUAGGCUUCUUUUAAGUUUAAGACCAACCAAUUUCAUCCACCUUGCAUAAUAAUCUAACAGCUCGGUGGUUCUUGGUUUUCUCAGGGAGUGUAGUCUUGGGAUCUCUUGAUUAGAGAGAUCUGAACAGGACACACAGAUGUUCAUACAAAAUGUGCGUAUCACAGGCAGAUGCAGCUCGUCAUUUGGUAUUUUAUGAGAUGGAGUUACAGACCUUUCCCCUCCUCAUAUGGACUCCAUAAAUCUGUUCACAGAAACUGUCCCAGUAACUGGCCAUACCUCCACGGACCACCCCUCAGAUGGCUAUUAGAUGAGGUUCCUGGGGCAGUGCUGCACAGUGUGACUGACAUUCAGUGUCUCCACCCUCUGCAUGCAGACACUGAACUUUCCUCAUAGAGAUGCAUUGAUUCCAUAUAUCUCUAGGAGGAGAUGCCAAUUGGCCAGGGCUGUGUUUGGCUCCAACCACCUCCGUGGCUGAGAUCAUUAGAACUGACAAUCUCAGCCGAUCCAGUGCUUUCCUACGGGAAAACAUAGUGAUUGUCUGAGAUAAUCACUACUGCUGAUGUCAGCCAAGGAUGCAGAUCAAGGGCGGGGUCAGCAGCAUAUAUUUAGGAGAGCAAGGGGGGACUAGAUAGUGUUCCUUUAAACUUCUGUUUCAAGGGGUAACGUUUCCAACCCUGUUAUUUCCUGUAUUAAUGACACAAAAUGUGUUGUUAUAGCCCCCAACCAUCAUCUGCCUGUUGCCAGCGUCAUUCUGCCUAUUCUACAAGAACAGAGGUCAAGUGUGAAAUCUCAAUUGCUGGAUGAGGAAUAUUCUUGGAAUUAAUAAAUUAAUUGAACUAUGAUUGUCUAUGCCUUUUAAUUCAUGACUUAACAAUGCAUCCAGUAAAUUAUUCUCCUUCAAGAGCAGAGCUUUUCAUGUAGUGCACAGUAGGGGGCAUAACAUAUCUCUGUGGCUGACCACUUGGUACCCCGACUGGGUACCUCCGCCAAACAUGCUUCCACGAGCUACCAUCAGCAUUUCACUGGGACACCAUAACCUGUUCCAGCCCCAUAGCUGCUGCAGCUGGGCUGGGGUCUUGCCAUUUACGCCCACCUUGGACCCAAGUCCUUGAUCCAGCUCCCAGUGGGUAGACCUCUCCUCCAAAGAGUAUAGCCGGCAUAGCCAGCAAUGGCUAAUGGGAGAUCGAGGAGGGACCAACGCCCUACUGGGGAAACAGGAAUUGUGCCUGAGAGAUAAUCUGAGAGAUAAUCCGAAACUGUACAAACUCAAUUAUCUCCAGGUACAGAAAAACACUCAAUUUUACAACACCACAAAAUCCACAGAAACCCCCAAGAGUCACAUCCACGGGUAGCUAUGAUCUGAGUGACCAUCAUAUCCAAAAAUCCCUCCGAUCGGUUCAGUGGUUCGAAUUUUCCAUGUAAGUCACUCCAGGAACACGUGGCAGAGGCAUCUUUGCGAUAAUCUCUAGUCCUAUUGUGCUUUAUACCCCACCUUCUAUAGACUGUAAGCUCGUUUGAGCCAUCCUGUAAGUUUUUUGUUAUUGUCUUAUUUAUUGUUAAAUCUCCCUCUUUUAUAAUAUUGUAAGGAGCUACGGCAUCUGUUGGUGCUAUAUAAAUGCAAAUAAUAAAAUCAGUACCCUCAAACAGGGUGCAAUAUGACGCACAUCCUAAUGUCACGCUCUGAUACCAAUACAUAGCAAAUACAGGGCACAAUAUGAGGCACACCUGAAUGUCACGCUCUGAUACCAAUACAUAGCAAAUACAGGGCGCAAUAUGACGCACACACUAAUGUCACGCUCUGAUACCAAUACGUAGCAAAUAGGGCGCAAUAUGACGCACACACUAAUGUCACGCUCUGAUACCAAUACAUAGCAAAUACAGGGCGCAAUAUGACGCACACACUAAUGUCACGCUCUGAUACCAAUACAUAGCAAAUAGGGCGCAAUAUGACGCACACCCUAAUGUCAAGCUCUGAUACCAAUACAUAGCAAAUAGGGCGCAAUAUGACGCACACCCUAAUGUCAAGCUCUAAUACCAAUACAUAGCAAAUAGACAGGGCGCAAUACGACGCACACCCGAAUGUCACGCUCUGAUACCAAUACAUAGCAAAUACAGGGCACAAUAUGAGGCACACACUGUAGCGGAGCUGCAAUAUUAAAUCCCAAGAUCUCCGCUGGUAUAGAAGGUAAUCCAAAGUAAAGCACUGGAAAAGAAGGCGAUAUCCCAAAUCCCCCAGUAACCGGACGAAAAACAGUUCAGGGAGUAAACUGACAAUUUUAUUCACGGCUGUUAGCCUACAGGGAGUGCAGAAUUAUUAG